CAAUAUUAAUGUUAUUAAAGUUAUUAAUGAUGCAUCUCCUGAAAACAGAACUUGUCAAUGGAUCCUCGACCAGAACAUUGACACUUCCAUCCCAUUUGGAUCAAAAAAAAUUUAAUUUCAUAGACAUUAGAGCU